GCUAGGGAUGUAGCUCAGGGGUAGAGCACUUGGCCUAGCAUGUGCCAAGUCCUGGGUUCGAUCUCCAGCACUAGGA
rnacentral:tRNA from 1 species